GGUUGCUGCCCUCCUUGGGCGUUUCCUCCCUAGACUUGGGCCGCCAAGCUCGCUUGGCGGCCUCUUUUUUUGCCCAAA
rnacentral:sRNA from 3 species